UACGAAGGGGGCUAGCGUUGCUCGGAAUUACUGGGCGUAAAGGGGCGCGUAGGCGGACAGUUUAGUCAGAGGUGAAAGCCCAGGGCUCAACCUUUGGAAAUUGCCUUUGAUACUGGCUGUCUUGAGUUCGGGAGAGGUGAGUGGAAUGCCGAGUGUAGAGGUGAAAUUCGUAGAUAUUCGGCGGAACACCAGUGGCGAAGGCGCUCACU
rnacentral:rRNA from 1 species